CCUACGGGAGGCAGCAGUGAGGAAUAUUGGUCAAUGGGCGAGAGCCUGAACCAGCCAAGUCGCGUGAAGGAUGACGGCCCUACGGGUUGUAAACUUCUUUUGUCAGGGAGCAAUUGGGUCCACGCGUGGGCUUAGCGAGAUUCCCUGAAGAAAAAGCUUCGGCUAACUCCGUGCCAGCAGCCGCGGUAUUACGGGGGAUGCGGGCGUUAUCCGGAUUUUUUGGGUUUAAAGGGUGCGUAGGCGGAAUAUCAAGUCAGCGGUAAAACUUCGGGGCUCAACCCCGUCGUGCCGUUGAAACUGAUGGUCUUGAGUGGGCGAGAGGUAUGCGGAAUGCGUGGUGUAGCGGUGAAAUGCAUAGAUAUCGCGCAGAACUCCGAUUGCGAAGGCAGCAUACCGGCGGCCAACUGACGCUGAGGCACGAAAGCGUGGGUAUCGAACAGGAUUAGAUACCCGGGUAGUC
rnacentral:rRNA from 1 species